GAUGAACGCUGGCGGCGUGCCUAAUACAUGCAAGUCGAGCGAACGGACGAGAAGCUUGCUUAUCUGAUGUUAGCGGCGGACGGGUGAGUAACACGUGGAUAACCUACCUAUAAGACUGGGAUAACUUCGGGAAACCGGAGCUAAUACCGGAUAAUAUUUUGAACCGCAUGGUUCAAAAGUGAAAGACGGUCUUGCUGUCACUUAUAGAUGGAUCCGCGCUGCAUUAGCUAGUUGGUAAGGUAACGGCUUACCAAGGCAACGAUGCAUAGCCGACCUGAGAGGGUGAUCGGCCACACUGGAACUGAGACACGGUCCAGACUCCUACGGGAGGCAGCAGUAGGGAAUCUUCCGCAAUGGGCGAAAGCCUGACGGAGCAACGCCGCGUGAGUGAUGAAGGUCUUCGGAUCGUAAAGCUCUGUUAUUAGGGAAGAACAUAUGUGUAAGUAACUGUGCACAUCUUGACGGUACCUAAUCAGAAAGCCACGGCUAACUACGUG
rnacentral:rRNA from 1 species